AGCCUAAACCAACGAGAAAUUGUUGGCAUGGUGAAAAGUCCGUUCAAGACAAAAACCCCAUCAUAUGGGAAUGUCUUGAACGGCCACGUCGGGAAACCGGCGCGGAGGACGCAAGUCCUC
rnacentral:sRNA from 12 species